rnacentral:lncRNA from 1 species
CACACACACACACACACACACACACACACACACACACACACACACCUCACACUUCCUUCUACCUGUGGCUUCUGUCCCCCCACCUACUCCCUAGCCCCCAUUCCUGAGUGGCCCCUUGUAGAGCCGAGGGAAGGAAAAUGGCCGGCAGAGGACUUCCUGGGCCCCAGACCUAAAGGCCUUUGCUUCUCUGUGUGCUCUUUGCCUUUGUGUGGGCUCCAGGCUCCUCUCGUCACAUUUCCACUCAAGAUCAUGCCACCUCCAGAGCACUUGCCUCCUUCCCUUUUAUUUGGUGCCUUGGUAGGUGCCUCCUAGCCUCUUUAGAAUUAGGUUUGGAAUAACAAAGUGCCCCCAUUUCUGGCUACAGCCCAGAGCACAGCUCAACCUACUCUCCUCUCUGCACAAGACUUGGCUGUCCCCUUCCCACUCCCACUCCAUCCCAGCCUGAGCUCUUGGCUCACAACUCCAGAAAACUCAAACCGGCCCUGGGUGCCCCAAGGACCCCUUUUUCCUCCUACCUAUCGGGAUAUUGGCUGAGUGUCUGUCAGCAAGAAGUGCACUUUCUGGGCUUGGUCUUUGUGGGGAACUUCUAUCUGAUAAGGUCUCCUUUGUUCCCUCUUUGUUUUUCCUCCCAAGGUCCCCCAGGGGGCUUCACUGGGGGAGGGUUGAUGCUGAUGGCUACCUCUCCAGAAACUCCAAGGUCUAGCCCUGUGGGCGUGUCCCCUCUACCCUCAGACUCUGCGGAGGUUCCUAAAGGAGGCUGCAGAGGCAUCCUUGCUGGAAGAGGCGGUUUGGUCACUUGGAGCUGGUGUUUCUGGUUUAUCUGGCUUAGUUUUCAUCAGAUUUCCUUGUCUUCUCCAUCAGAAACACCCAAACGUCCCCUAUUUGCUCUGCGGCCACCUCUACUCACUCUGCUCCCUCUUUCUUAUGCUGGUUUACCUGUCAGGAGCCUGCUUUGGUUCCUGGAAUGGAAUGAGCUGGUAGCUGUGGAAGGACCAUGCCCCAGGCGUUUUCCCUCGCCCCCUGGACAGAUUCAGGUUCUUGUUUAGUCUCUUCCAAGAGCAGAGUCAGUUUACCUAGGGUCUUCUUGAGCCCCUUGAAUCCCAUCCAAAGUUUCCCUAGUUAAGAAGGGCCAACCAUACCCCACAGGUUGCCUGGAAGAGUAGCCACUGCUCCUUGUACCCCAGGAAGGACAGUCAGGACCAGCCAUCCUUGGUCCUGUGAUAGAAGUGGCUUCUCAGUUCCUCUCCACUAGUGCUCUUUUCUCUCUUGUCACUGAGGGAGUAUUGAGCCACUGAGGACUGGAGGAAGGGCCCCUGGAGCCUGUCACAAAAUGCCUGUCUGCACUCAUGCUCUCCCUGAAAUGCCACAGAUCAGACAAGCACCUUGCCCUGGUCAUGAAGGCCCCGGGCAGGAAGAAGGUGGCUUCUGUGGCCUGGAGACCUUGCAGAAGGAGGUUGCUCUGAACCUGCCUACCCAUCUUGAACUGCCCCUGAAGUAUUGCUCCCCUGUGUUUUCAGGCUGUCCCUGUGUGCCUCAGGGUGUCUGGCCUCCUUUUCUUCCCAGACUGUGUGGAAGGCAAGGGGAAACUGAGGGGGAUGUCACCACCCAGCAAAAGAUCUUUGCCAGGGAAAUGACCUCCCUGAGGAUGGGGAAGGAAACACUUAUCCACCUUCCAGAUCUUUAUAACUUCACUUGGAAUCUCUUCCUAAAGCUGAACCUGAAUCUCACUUGCCCUAACCCAAGCGCUCCCCCGCCACUGUGAAUACAGAUCACACCCAGCUCAGUGAAAGGAGCUUCCUUUCACCUGUCCUGUCUCCUUCCAGGGAAGUCCUAACAACACCAGCACCAUUGCCUGCUUUGUCUCACUGCCUGCUUAGCCAUCUGUGAUUUUUUAUUUCAGCCUUUGGCCUGAAAUUCUCUUUCUCCCUUCUUCAUAGAAGUACUGUUUCCCAUCUAAAAUUGCUAAGCCUCUAUUUCUCUCUGAUCAGAGGUAGGGGCUGGAGGCAACAUUGAGCCAGGGGAGGUGCCUGCUCCCUUUCUGUAGUUCCUGUGUCUAUUCAGCCCUCAUCAGGGGAGAGGGGGGCAUGCUUGUACGAACUCCGCAGCCUGCACAGUGAAGGAGCUCGCCUCAGGAGCCCCCACUUUGAUGGCUUUUUGUAUUUGUGUUUGACUAUGUCUCAGCAUGAGCUUCUGCCCGAGUGUUCUGCUCAUUAGAGUUUCUAGAAAGUUGUCCUUUCCUGACCACAGGCAUCACUUCUGGGGUUGUUUUCUUGGGACCGAAGCUGAGAUUGCAGAUGGUAAUGGCUAUGUGUGCUUUAGCUUGUUCCAUUGGCGAAACAUACCAAUUAAACUUCAAAUGAACCAAUUCUUGUUUCUUUACAAUGUACCUUGGCUUGAAGUUGGAGUUUUAGCCAGAAUUUCCGUUGGCCUGUUACAACACAUGCAAAAAUGCUGGGUAUUCUAGGGUGUUUUGCAGCAAAUGCUGCUUCUCUGGAUCCUGCUCCUUGACAGAGAUUUUUUAAAAGUACAAAUUCCUCCCCCGACCCCAUACCAUUGUAAGUAUCAUUGUGCCAAUUGUUCUAGGUUUAGAAAUCUGGGAAGCGCUUCUGCGAUGGGCCGUGACCCUUACAAGAUGUGUAAUGUUUGAACAAAAUAAAAUGGACGAAUGUUA